rnacentral:tRNA from 1 species
CAGGUUAAUAGUUUAAGGAGAAUAGUUACUUUGGGUGUAACAGGUUACUUUGUAUGGCUUGA